CAUUAUACAGGACACAGAGAGAAGUGACUGAGAGACUCUAGGCCUGUGGGCUGAAGACAGAUGCCCCAACUUUACAGAGGAAAUUUGGAUGACUGUUCAGACUGCCAGCUGUCUCUGUCUACACUUGAAAGACUCCUGAAAAUUGCUUGCAUCCUUCUCCCAUUUCUCAGCCUACUUUGCUGCCACAGGAGUGAAGACUCUCUGGAGACCCAGAACAAGUUCUCAGAGACUGAAGUGAAGCCUGGGGCUCCCAGCUCCCAGCUAAGCACAUGGCCAUCUUUUCUUGCCAAAUCACAUGCAUAGUUAAUCAUAUUAUUCUCUUCAUAUCAUUAUAGCUUAUCAUUUCUCUUCUCAUGAGAAAGGAGCUGAAAUCCUGCCACAAAAUCAGCAAAUGUCAACACUUGGCCUCAAUUCCACAGUCAUUCUCAGGUCCUUCUUGCUACCUUUCAUAGGACUAUCUCCUUAUUAUCUAGCCAUGGGAACAGCUGUUUCAUCCUCUAAGAAGAAAGUAACCAUGCUGGCAUUUUGAUCUUGGGAUUAUAAGCUGAAUGCUUACUAUUGGGGCCAGACUAUGCAGCAUGUUACUUCGCUGAACAUGAGUCUUAAGGGAAUUUAGAAAAUGGAAUAGCCUUUGAAAUUCUGAUCUGACAAUUCUGAGUGCAAAUUGGCUUCAUUUCUGUUGAUUCAUCUACAAAAGUCAAUAAUGGCAGAGAGACCUGAGAGCGCAGAUGGGGACUGGGCCACUACAGGAGCAUCCUGCUGACUUUCUGGGGCACAUCAUAAAGGCUCUUGGACUUUAUGGCUUCUCUAAAACAAACCCAGGAGCCAGCUUUUGUUUUCCUACCCAAACCAUUUGUCAUCCGUUUGUGGGAAGGGCUGAUAACAGCACACAUAGAACAGAAGCCGAAGCUUCAGUGGUAGCUUCCUCACAAAUAACCAAAGGCUGAAAGGCCACAGACAUGCUAGCUAGAAGCAAAGUCUAACAUGUUGUCCAUCUUCUCAUGUGCCAUGGGGAAAACAGCCUUCCUUUGAAUUUGAGGCGUCUAUUAGGUCAUGGACCUUGCUCAUCACUGCAUCUCACACUGUGCCCCCACCCCCUAUUUCCUUGGUAUUCUCUGGAGUGUUUUUGUGGGGAGGGACAUAGUGGGUUAGUAGUAGAUAUUUUGCCUUUCUUAUUAGUUGAUCAUUCCGAUGACCAGUCUUGACUGUCAGUUUGAUGAGAUUUAGAAUCACCACAGAAACAAAUCUAUUUGAGGUCUUUGAGGGAUUAUAUGGAUUAGGUAAAUCAAGCUAGGAAGAUCUACCCAAUAUAAGUGGUACUAUUCCAUGGACUGAACCCUAGACUGAGUAAGAAGGAAGAAGUAAGUAGAGCACCAGCAUCUCUGUCUGCUUCCUGACUGUGGAUGCCAUGUAAACAGCCAUGUCCUUUUCCUGUGGUCAUGCCUUCUUCACAACAAUGGAGUUUUAUACUCUGGAACCAUAAGUCAAAUUUAUCCUUCUCUCCUUAAGAUUGCUUCUGUCACACCAAAGAGACAAAUAACUAGUUUAAUCAAAUAUUGAGAGUGAAUAUCCCAGAAAGGCCAGUUAUAUUUACCACACAGCAAAACUCUUAAGAGAAUUGUUUUUGCUGAAGUUUAGAGGUUGUUAUUUUGGGGCUUUAAACACUGAUAUAAAAAACUGUCAUGUUUGAUUUGCUUUAUGUUAACAUCCUUGGGUGUCUGUGGCCUACUUAAAGUGACUACAGCAGUGGAUCAGAGCAUUCAUGACGCUGCUAAAAGCCAGAUUUCAUUAAAGCUAAAUGAGACCAUACUCUUGGCAAGUUGAUAGAAAUUCACAUUUGCUUACCAUUUUAAAUGGGGAUUUUAGCUGCAACGGAUUGAAGAACACACAAGGCACCAAACUUGGUGAUUAUUUGUGAUAAAAUCCUAUUCAAAUACUGCAAUGUUAACUAACUUAAAAAAAAAAGAGAAGGUAUUGCCAAAUUUAAGGUGCCAAUGUGAUUUUUAUUGUUGUUUGUUGUUUUCCAAGGCUUAUAAUUGUUUCCAUUUUAGUUUCUCUUUCCUGAAAUGUCUUCAUUUUGUUAUAAUAUUCCUAUAUCAUAAGUGAGGGUCAGGGUGAAGAAAGUAAACAAACCAAAAUAAUUAAACAUUCUAUUUAAAAAUUUGCAAAUACAAGCAUCUCACUGUAAAGACUCUUGCUAGAAUCUUGCUGGUAAGACCUGAUUCCCACUCUGGGUCAGUUCUGCUGUCAGUGAGCUCACAUCAUUCACUAGAAGCUACAAAAGACAGCUUGCUAGAAUCAGGGGCAGUUUCCACCUCAAGGAAUUCCUUCCCUGGCACAAAUCUUUUUGAUUAAACAGAUAAACACAUGCAAUUCUUAAAAGUUUUCAAAAUCAAUCAAGAGACACUCAAUUGUGAAAAUUCCCUUUUAGACUAAUUACACUUUUCAUUAGGCCAGGGACUACCAUAGCACAGAUAUGUCAUUGCUUGUCAUGGUUUUGGUACAUCAAAUAAUAGAAUAAUCAAUCAUCUCCAUUCUUAGAGAAUGGCAUAAUCAAAGGUAUUAUGGAGGCAACUGGAUUCAUUCUCUCAAAGUGGCUGAACAAUUACAGUGAUUGUCAAUUGUUAACUCUGGCUAAGUAGCUAAUGACCACGAGUGUUUUCCUAACAACCUGCAAAAUAAAAUUGUUGCUUUUUCCUCUCUCAGGAACAGAGCAGGGUCACAGAAGACUAACUUGGCUUUCCAGUUGUUUUAAGAGAAUUCUGAAAUUUCCAAAUCCAUUAAAAAACAAAACAACAAAAGUAGUUUACUUCAAGAAGACCACUAGCUCACAGCUAUGUAUUACCCAGCCCUAAUAUGCCAGAUGCACAUGUUUGAAUUACACGUAGUUCAAAGGUAAACUGUUUUUGUUCAGCUUCAAAGCAAAAGAAAUGGACAAUUCAUUAUUUAAAUGUUUAUUCUGCUCUUACUUUUGGGAUGUCUUUGCCCUGACUUUAUGGGAACUUGAUAAUUCCUAGGGCAGUCCAUUUCCUCUAGGAUCCCUCUGGGGACGAGUACAGGUCUCUCUCCUGCAGUUCACCGACAGGGAAACGGGAUCGCCAAGCUAUAGUUAGCUCAGUACUGCCCGUGCCAAUCCUUUCAGCCCAGCUUCUUAACUGCAGCAUCAAGACGACUGCUGUGUUUUAGCAUCAGUUAAAGAUCAAACCCCAGCUUCUGUCCUGCACUCUUAGGACUUCCAGCAAGGGCAGGGUUAUCUUUUAUUCAUCCUAUGUAUCUUAAGAUCUCAGAAUAGUGUCUACAACACAGAUGAUAUUCAUACACCCUAUGUAUCCUAAGGCCUCAGAACAGUGUCUACAAUAAAGUUGAUAUCCAUACAUCCUAUAUAUCCUAAGGCCUCGGAAUAGUGUCAACAAUACUGUUGACAUCCAUAACUUUUGUUUUCAGAUUGAUUUCUUUGGUUCCUUUGAUGUCUGUUUUCUAGGACUUGCUUGAAUCUCUCAAUAUUUUUGAAAUCUGAGUUUUACCCCAAACGUUCUUCUCUAGUUUUCCAGAUGGCCUGCCACUUGAUCAGACACAUCCAUGUUCACUCUGUUCUUGGAUACCGAGGCUGUCUGUUUCCAGACACACCAUGACUAACAGUGUGUUAAGAACUUUCAAAGGCACUCAUUAUCCUCUCCUCUGUGUGAGGCAGUAGGUAUGGUUCCAAAUGCACAGACCCCCAAACAGAGGCCCAUGAGAGAAAGGCAGGGAUUUCCUGAACUCAUCCCAUCCCUUAUAAGGAGGUCUUUGUUCUGUAGCCAAAGAUACAGAGGUUGGAUAGAAAAGAGCAGCAGCAGAGUCUCCUAAGAGCUGGGCUUGUGGGAGUGAUUGUGGAAUAGGCAGAAAUGGAUUAGCUUUGCUUUGAGUACAGCUCUUGACAGAUUGUUCAGAAGAGCAGGUUGGGCCCUGUGGAACAUCUGCUGCCAGAGGCAGUCUGCAGGUUUCCUCCUAUGGAGGGUGGGCUGAAGUGGCUCAGGGGAUCUCUGAGAGGACGAGGUGUGUGUGACUGGGGGCUGUUGAGAUUGUCGCAGUCAGCAGUGCCCUUUCUGUACAGCUGCUUUGACAGCAAAUCCUGGGUGCUUUAAUUUCUCCGAUACUGUGGCCUUUCCAGGCAACCUAAGCAUGGCUCCUAUGGGGUAUAUAACACCCCAUGCCAAAGCAGUCCUCUGCUAGCUCAAUCUUCCUCCUGCCCCAUCACCUGAGGCUGAAAUGGCCUUCUUUCUUGAUACUGUGAACCACUAGUGUCUUCUGUUCAGCCAGGUUUGGGUGCUGCCUCUUCCAGGUGGAUUGAACUUGACUGACAAAGAAUGAGGCAAAAUAAUAGGUACUCUGUGACUUUGAUGGACUUGGUAUCUGUCACCCAAGGGCAGACCUGUCUGGAGGCCUGUGUGUAUUCCACACUAGCUUCUGCUCUGCUGUGACUUGUCAUGCUGGGCAAAAGUCCUUGUUAUAUCCCACUGUGGUAUCCAGGAAACAAGGUACAGCUGUCAGAAAUAGACAGGGGCCAAAGCCUUGAUAUUGUCAGGUCAGGUGAAGAGGGAGCGCAUCCUUACAGGCCAGAAAGAAGCUCUUGAGCACCUUUGAAGGUUUUGUUUGUCUUUCAGAAGCACUAAAAGAUAAUGACAAGCCUUGAGAACAUUUGGUGUCAAGUGUGCACAAAUGCUGAACUGUGAAAGAAAUUCCUGAAGUCACGAGAUAAGAGUAAAACCAUCUUCAUUUCUGGAAAUGGGAUGGCAGGUGCUGAGCCCAUGGGCUAGAGCCAGUCCUGGGGUGAAAGAGGGUGUUUUCAUUCUGAGAUCAGUGCAUGUGGUAAGGGAAUACUGCUCACUGCCACCCAAACCUACACUUUGUUGAACAUCUUGUCAGGCUGUGAAUAGCCACGAGUUUGGGGAACAGGUCCUGAGUGGGUGCUAGAUGUGAAGGAGGAGUCAGGCUCCUAAGCAGACUGCUUCAGCAUUACGAAACUUCGUUUCCUUUCCUGGCAAACCCCACCAGCAAUGAGACACUAACAAUGCCCAGUAAUUGCAACACUUAAUAUAUUCCGGAGAUGUAGUUAAAUAGUUUAUAGUCACGAUUCCAAGGAAUUUUCAGACCAACCCAUGAUAUCAGUACAGAGAUUGACAGGAAGAGGUAGCAACAGUUGUGCAGGUGGGCAUACACACACACACACACACACACACACACACACACACACACACACACACACACAAAUAACACAUAUGUACAGUUAGCAAGGAUCAGGAAGAAUUGUAUCCCUAAGGUGACAUACAGCUGCCAAUUAAACCACCCAGAGAAGAGAAUACAUGGACUUUCUGGAUCCUUGAAAUUCAGCAUUUUUUUUUUGUCAUUCUUCUGAGAUAGUCUUAACCAUCUAGUCCAGGCCAGCCUUGAACUCAUGAUCUUUUUGCCUCUGCCUUUUAGAGUGCUGGUACUACAAAUAUGUACCCUAUGCCUAGCAUGGGAGUUUUUCAAAGCUCUUCUCAUAUUACCAUUCUAGAAACUAUGUAACAUUAGUCCCAGAUGUACUGGCUUACACCAUAUGCCAUCCCAGAAAGUAGGCAGCAAUCUCUAACUAUAGAUGUUAUAAAUAGCAGACUCUGCUAGUGUUGAGCCAGCCAGUCUCCAAGAAGCCUUAGCCUCACCCCUGGAUGCAGCCCUGACCUUCAACCUUCUGUAGGGUGCCAAAACCUCAGCUCCCACCUCAUCUCAAUGUUCCAGUGAAGGAGCACUGGAACCAGCAUUUGAGCUUAGUCAGAAGUCCUGACAGCAGACCCAUUCCCAGAUUUCCUGGAAAGCGAGGUAGAAGAGGGUGAAGCACAUGGGACCGACCUGUCCAGGGAGGAAAGGGUGUUCUCACUUUGAGACUUAUGCAUGUGGCAGGGGACAGUCUGCUCACCUCUGUUGAAACCCAGGAUCUACCAAACAUAUUUCUAGACCAUUCAUUAGUGUGUUAGUCUAAUAUUCAAACCCUUUGUACCUGGUUGCCAUUCCUUCUAUUAAGAAGCACUCUUUUCAAUAGCCUUUGGAGGUACAGGCACCAACAGAGCUCCUGGCUAAAAUGCCUUUGUGGAAUGUAACCCAGGCUUGCCAAUGAAGGUAGGGUUCCCUUGGGGCAAGAGGAAAGGAAGGCCGGUGCAUGUCAGCAGUCACAGAGCUGCGUUUCAGAUUGAAUUCUGAAGGCCUUCCCAUUUAUAAACUCUUUGUUCUAGAUUCUUAGCCCUACAAACAGAAUGCCUUUGCAGUUUGUCAUCCCUGGAGCUUCUUGUGGACAGCGUCUGCAUACCACCUCGCUUCCUAGGUUUAGCUCUUCAUCAGGCCCUGCCCCACCUCCUUUCCCAUAAGACAUCUCAACUUCCACUCUCCGUGUUUGUCUCCCCUUGUCACUGAACUGCAGCACAUCUCAGAUCCGUCCAAACAGCUGUGCUGCAACCUGCCCGCAGGCUUUUCCAGCAGCCUCAUUCCUAGGAGACAGCUUGCUCAUGGUUCCAGAGCAUGAUCUGAUUGGAUUCAUAGUGUCCUGCACUAAAAUAGACAUUAUAAUCCCCUCCAUUUUCUGAGCAGGAAGAAACAAGUGUGUUCUUUUCAUUAAGGACACCAUGCUUCCAGGAAGUUAUUUUUCGAAUUAAGAGAAAUUUAGAGGUGGCCAGAAUAUUACUGAAAAUCCAUUAAAGGUCAAUGAAGUACAGAAUUCAUGAAUUGCUGGUAUGAAAACAUGUUUGGCACAGUCAGUCCCACACAGCAGCUCUUCUUCCCAUAACACCCGUGUAGGUCUCCAGUAAAAAAAAAAAAAAAAAAAAAAAAAAAUGAAGCCAGAGCAAAGGAAGGAACAAAUCUAUGUACAAAUGAGAGAGUUUUCAAGUGAGCCACAUUUGAGAUAACUACUAACUCUCCCGACGCCCUGGGAGGUGCUGGGCAGCAGUUCAAGCAUCCUUUCUUGCUGCCAUUUGAUCUCCCACUAUCCCAAAGACUCUAGUUCUUGGUGCAGAUUUCUUUGUCAGCAGGACUAGUUUAGAUGGUGAAGCCAUAGCUAAUAAGCAGAGGAGGGGGUCCUGAGUAGUUGGUGUCCUUAGAUGAGUAAAAAUAAAAUGUCAUCAUUCUGUUCAUCCCAUAUUAAAUUCUUUAAGACACUUUAUUACAUUUUUUGUGUAUGGCUAUGAGCACAUGAGUACAUGCUAUAUCAUGUGUGUUCAGAAGACAAUUUGAAGAGAGCUGGUUCUCUCCUUGCACCAGGUCUUCCUGGGGAUGGAUCCAGUUGCCUUGGUAACAGCAGUCUUUACCUCCUGAGUCAUCUCAUCAGCACUAUUCCAUUUUAGAGAUAUAGAAACUGAGGUUCAGAAAGACCAACUAAUUCACUUAAGGCCACCCAACUAGAAAGCAUCAUACCUAGAUUUAAAUGUGAAUCCAUUUCACUCCCAUUCUAGAGUCCUGAAAGUGCUAAGUACACCACAUAUUCAUGGCUAGACCUUUGGUGUGAUAUGAAGAGUGUAAUGGGAUGGAAUGGACAGCCACUCUGUUGUCCUGAAGGACACACACACACACACACACACACACUUUCCUUCAAACCAUCCUCAGUGCCCACUUCUGGCCAUAAGACAGUGUUACCAUCACAAGUUCACACAGUGCCAACUGUCGGGGAGCUGGGUGGCCUUCUCAGCUUCCUACUCUUGGCAUCUUGAUUCCUUUUUCUCUGACAUAUACUGCUUGGCCAUCCUUUUUUUAUUAUUCCUUUUUAGUCUAUAAUAUUCCAGUGUGUCAGAUGAAGUCCAGAGAAGUAACAGUACAGCAUCAUAGGCUGAAGUGAGAAUAUUUCUUGCCAACUCAAAUUAUUUAUGAUCGAACAGUUAACCAGUCACUCAACUUGAGGAUUUUGGUACCAUAGGGCUGUUUUAUUAGCCUCAGCAUAAAGAUGCCUUGUACAUAAACAACAUUUAUUGUGCCAGUCUGCUAGCUGGCUUGUUAAAACAAUGUUGUGUCAGGACAGGAUGGUUCUAAGAGAAACAGAAAUGAAGUUCUGUGCUGUUUGCUUCUGAAUUAACACACCUGGUCCCCUCAUGGAACACACACACACACACACACACACACACACACACACACACACACACACACACACACACAGCCUGUGUGUUCACACAAAGACUGUUUCCUGAGAUCCCUCUAUAUGCCCUAAAAACAUGGGAAAUACAAAGGAGGUAAGAGCAUCCUUGUAAUAGUGAGGCUUACAUGCUAACAUGAGGGAACCAAACAGUCAGGAAUGUCAUCACUGUAAGCAUAGAAGAGCACACUGGGGACCAGCUCCUCUGGGCUACGAUGGUCCCACAUAUAUCAUAUGGGUGACAUCUGAGAAAAACUGAAUGGAGUAGGUGAAGAAUAUUCUAAAAGAGCAAAUAGGAAAGGCAAAGGCAUUAUUAAAUAAUUUAAAGAGAGGUUAGGAGGCUGUGUCUGAAGGAAAGUAAGAAGAGGGGCAAAGCAGGGAAAUAGAGGCAGAGGGAAGUCUGAAGAGCAGGAUAAGUGGCCUCAGUAGUGUCACAGAUAGGCGAGGGUCUUUGGCAUUUGGUGAAUAGGAGAGUGAAUAAAUGAGUUGACUGCUGGAUGAUUUUUUUAAAAAGAGCUGGUUCUGUGCAUAUGUUAGGGAGGAUAGAAGCCAUCUUCUCUGGAACCCACCAUUUAUAGCAGCCACUAGUUGGUGAAUGCUUGCAAUGUGCCAAGUCACCUAGAGGCAUUCUGUGGAUAUAAUUUACAUUAUCCCAUGUCAUCAUCCUGGGGACAAAGACAUAAUUCUUUUCUCUGUGCUGGGAAUGGAGGCAAGCGCAGUAUCGGAGGAACUUGCACAAGAUAAAAAAAAAUGCUUAGUGGUAGAGCCAGGGCCAUAUCUCCACCCCUCUGAACAGAAGCGUUGGGCUCUAGACUCCUGGAGCUACUGGGUCCGUGGCCAGGAAGAUGUAUCUGGUUUAACAUAAAGACGUAACUUGCAAGAGGCUAGAACUGCUGAGAAACAGAGCUGGGUCUUGGAAUGCACCCAAGUGGAUCCCAGGCCAGGGUGCAAGAUAGACAGGGAGCUGCAGCGUCCUCCCAUGCACAGUACUGAAGCCCCCUGAGACCUUGUUUGGGAUUAAAGAAAAACAGAUUGCUCCAAACAACAGGGACAUAAAUAUAGGCAGCUGCAUUUAAGCUCCCAAGUCCAGAAGUCCCUCAAAAUCUCAGCUCUUCAUUUGGGCUUUGGUUUCUAAUGGUGUAGAAAGAGAUACCAGAUGAAAUUCAGUAUUUUCCACUUUUAUGUGCUUUUAAAGCAACUCUAAGUAGUCACAGAUACCUACCACCCUGUUUUCUUUUGUGUUUUUCAGUCCUGGGAAAAAAAAACUUUGAAUCCAGGACUCUGUGCAUGCUAGGCAAGUAUUCCACCACGGAGCUACUACAUGCCAGCCCCAGAUACUGGCCUCUAAAUAAAGUCUAAGAAUUUCAAUAGUUGUGAAAUAUAUAGAUUGUAGAGUUUUUUGCUGUUUUGAGACAAGGCCUCACUACGUGACCCAGGCUGGCUUCAAACUCAUGAUUCCUGUGCCUCUGCCUCUGGCAUUCCAUAUUCCACAUGGCAGCUUAAAUGCAGCUACUUAUAUUUAUGCCCCUAUUAUUUGAAGCAAUCUUUUCUUUUUCUUAAAACACAAACACAAUAAAUACCAAAUGGAUUUAAAGGCUUCAGGGGUAUAUAAAAAUAAUUAACCAUCUCCUCUUUCCCUUCCUCAACCUAAUUUUAACAUUAAUCAUUAAAUGCACAUUUCCAACUUCUCUGUCCUUUAAUUUUUAAAAUUAAUACUAUAAGGAAAUCUCCAAACAUAGAUUGACAUGUUUCUGAUAUUACUUAUUUUUUUCUUUUUUAUUGAAAAUAGAUUUUUUUCCAUACAAUAUAUUCUGAUCACAGUUUCCCCUCUCCCAGCUCCUCCCAAGAUCCUCCCAACCUCCCCACCCACCUCAAUCCAUACUCUUUCAUUGUCUUUCUCACUAGAAAACAAGCAGGAAUCUAAAAAAAUUAAAGUAAAUUAAAACAAACAAACCAGAAUAUGACAAAACAAACAGGAAAAAAAAAAACGAGCCAAAGAAAAAGCACAAGAAACACACAGAGAUGCAGAGACACAUUUCAUAGUUGCUUAAUAUUGUUUAAAAAAAUAAAUUUAAAAUUUCAUCUUUAUCUUGUGCACAUGCUGAGAUGUACUCAUGAAGCUCAGAGGACAACUGGAGGUAGUUAGGUCUCUCCCUCGACAACAUGGGUCCCAGGAAUCAAACUCAGCUCGUCAGGUCCGGCAGCAAGCUCUUUCUUCCACUGAGCCGACUCUCCAACACAGCAGCUUAAUGUUCUACUUCUUCGAUGUAGCAAUCUGUCUCCCUGUGUCCUGUGUGCCUUCAUGUUAUUCCUCAUAAUUUUUAUUGCUAUCAAUAAAGUUACAAUAAAAAUUCUUCUAAAGCAUA